rnacentral:rRNA from 1 species
UAACCUACUAUAAGACUGGGACAACUUCGGGAAACCGGAGCUAAUACCGGAUAAGAUAUCGAACCGCAUGGUUCGAUAGUGAAAGAUGGUUUUGCUAUCACUUAUAGAUGGACCCGCGCCGUAUUAGCUAGUUGGUGAGGUAACGGCUCACCAAGGCAACGAUACGUAGCCGACCUGAGAGGGUGAUCGGCCACACUGGAACUGAGACACGGUCCAGACUCCUACGGGAGGCAGCAGAA